rnacentral:rRNA from 1 species
GAUGAACGCUGGCGGCGUGCUUAACACAUGCAAGUCGAACGAUGAAGCCCAGCUUGUUGGGUGGGUUAGUGGCGAACGGGUGAGUGAAACGCGAGUAAACCGCCCCUAACUCUGGGAUAAAACUGGGGAAAUGGGUCUAUAAUAGGAGAGGAGAGUUCCUGCCACGGUGGGGGUGGGAGAGAUUUACCGGUUUUGGAUGGACUCGCGGCGCAUCAGCUUGUUGGUGGGGUAGUGGCUCACCAAGGCGAUGACGGGUAGCCGGCCUGAGAGGGUGACCGGCCACACUGGGACUGAGACACGGCCCAGACUCCUACGGGAGGCAGCAGUGGGGAAUAUUGCACAAUGGGCGGAAGCCUGAUGCAGCGACGCCGCGUGAGGGAUGACGGCCUUCGGGUUGUAAACCUCUUUCAGUUGUGAAGAAGCGAGAGUGACGGUACCUGGAGAAGAAGCACCGGCUAACUACGUG